rnacentral:rRNA from 1 species
UGGGGAAUAUUGGACAAUGGGCGAAAGCCUGAUCCAGCAAUGCCGCGUGAGCGAUGAAGGCCUUAGGGUUGUAAAGCUCUUUUACCCGGGAUGAUAAUGACAGUACCGGGAGAAUAAGCCCCGGCUAACUCCGUGCCAGCAGCCGCGGUAAUACGGAGGGGGCUAGCGUUGUUCGGAAUUACUGGGCGUAAAGCGCACGUAGGCGGCUUUGUAAGUUAGAGGUGAAAGCCCGGGGCUCAACUCCGGAAUUGCCUUUAAGACUGCAUCGCUGGAACGUCGGAGAGGUAAGUGGAAUUCCGAGUGUAGAGGUGAAAUUCGUAGCUAUUCGGAAGAACACCAGUGGCGAAGGCGACAUACUGGCUCAUUACUGACGCUGAGGCGCGAAAGCGUGGGGAGCAAAC